CUGUGGCCUCCCUCCCCUGAAAUUUUUCUUAAAUUUGGCACUGACAUCUCUCAGCAUGAGAAGACGAACAGAGAUGUCAUUGCCAAUUUUAAAAGCAUUUCAAGGGAACCCGGACUUCCUGAAAGGCCAUGG